ensembl:lncRNA
GAAGAAGGCGCAGCAGCGCCUCUUCAACCUCAGGAGGCUUAAGAAAUGUUCUUGUCACCAAAAGCACUCACAAACUUCUACAGAUGCACAAUCGAGAGCAUCCUGUCGGGCUGUAUCACCACCUGGUACGGCAGCUGCUCCGCCCACAACCGUAUGGCUCUCCAGAGGGUAGUGAGGUCUGCACAACGCAUCACCGGGGGCAAACUACCUGCCCUCCAGGACACCUACACCACCCGAUGUCACAGGAAGGCCAAAAAGAUCAUCAAGGAGUUCAACCACCCGAACCACGGCCUGUUCACCUUGCUAUCAUCCAGAAGGCGAGGUCUGUACAGGACCUGAGCCCUAGGACCAUGCCUCAGGACUACCUAGUCUGAUGACUCCUUGCUGUCCCCAGUCCACCUGGCUGUGCUGCUGCUCCAGUUUCAACUGUUCUGCCUGCGGCUAUGGAACCCUGACCUGUUCACCGGACAUGCUACCUGUCCCAGACCUACUGUUUUCAACUCUCUAGAGACAGCAGGAGCGGUAGAGAUACUCUGAAUGAUCAGCUAUGAAAAGCCAACUGACAUUUACUCCUGAGGUGCUGACCUGUUUGCACCCUCGACAACCACUGUGAUUAUUAUUAUUUGACCCUGCUGGUCAUCUAUGAACAUUUGAACAUCUUGGCCAUGUUCUGUUACAAUCUCUACCCGGCACAGCCAGAAGAGGACUGGCCACCCCUCAUAGCCUGGUUCCUCUCUAGGUUUCUUCCUAGGUUCUGGCCUUUCUAGGGAGUUUUUCCUAGCCACCGUGCUGCUUCACCUGCAUUGCUUGCUGUUUGGGGUUUUAGGCUGCGUUUUGUGACAUCAGCUGAUGUAAGAAGGGCUUUAUAAAUACAUUUGAUUGAAUGCCACUCAGACAUUGCUCAUCCUAAUUAGAGGUCGACCGAUUAUUAUUUUUCAAUGCCGAUACCGAU